AGAGUUUGAUCCUGGCUCAGGACGAACGCUGGCGGCGUGCUUAACACAUGCAAGUCGAACGAAAAGAGGGAAAGAGCUUGCUCUUUCCGGAAUUGAGUGGCAAACGGGUGAGUAACACGUAAACAACCUGCCUUCAGGAUGGGGACAACAGACGGAAACGACUGCUAAUACCGAAUAAGUUCCAAGAGCCGCAUGGCCCAUGGAAGAAAAGGUGGCCUCUACCUGUAAGCUAUCGCCUGAAGAGGGGUUUGCGUCUGAUUAGCUGGUUGGAGGGGUAACGGCCCACCAAGGCGACGAUCAGUAGCCGGUCUGAGAGGAUGAACGGCCACACUGGAACUGAGACACGGUCCAGACUCCUACGGGAGGCAGCAGUGGGGAAUCUUCCGCAAUGGGCGAAAGCCUGACGGAGCAACGCCGCGUGAGUGAUGACGGCCUUCGGGUUGUAAAACUCUGUGAUCCGGGACGAAAAGGCAGAGUGCGAAGAACAAACUGCAUUGACGGUACCGGAAAAGCAAGCCACGGCUAACUACGUGCCAGCAGCCGCGGUAAUACGUAGGUGGCAAGCGUUGUCCGGAAUUAUUGGGCGUAAAGCGCGCGCAGGCGGCUUCCCAAGUCCCUCUUAAAAGUGCGGGGCUUAACCCCGUGAUGGGAAGGAAACUGGGAAGCUGGAGUAUCGGAGAGGAAAGUGGAAUUCCUAGUGUAGCGGUGAAAUGCGUAGAGAUUAGGAAGAACACCGGUGGCGAAGGCGACUUUCUGGACGAAAACUGACGCUGAGGCGCGAAAGCGUGGGGAGCAAACAGGAUUAGAUACCCUGGUAGUCCACGCCGUAAACGAUG
rnacentral:rRNA from 1 species